GAGGGUAUAACUCAACUGGUAGAGUGCAUGCCUAGCAUGUGCAAGGUGCUGGGUUCAAUUCCCAGUGCUGCCU
rfam:Camelus ferus unplaced genomic scaffold scaffold257, whole genome shotgun sequence.